rnacentral:rRNA from 1 species
GCAAGUCGAGCGCGCCCUUCGGGGUGAGCGGCGUAUGAGUUAGUAACGCGUGGGAAUAUACUCAGUUCUAAGGAAUAGCCUCGGGAAACUGAGAGUAAUACCUUAUACGCCCUUCGGGGGAAAGAUUUAUCGGAAUUGGAUUAGCCCGCGUUAGAUUAGAUAGUUGGUGAGGUAACGGCCUACCAAGUCGACGAUCUAUAGCUGGUUUGAGAGGAUGAUC